rnacentral:miRNA from 1 species
AGUGGUGUCGUAUUACCUGCC